GACGAACGCUGGCGGCGUGCUUAACACAUGCAAGUCGAACGGAAAGGCUCCAGCUUGCUGGAGUACUCGAGUGGCGAACGGGUGAGUAACACGUGGGUAAUCUGCCCUGCACUCUGGGAUAAGCCUGGGAAACUGGGUCUAAUACUGGAUAUGACCUUUCUCCUUAUGGGGUUUGGUGGAAAGUUUUUCGGUGUAGGAUGAGCCCGCGGCCGAUCAGCUUGUUGGUGGGGUGAUGGCCUACCAAGGCGACGACGGGUAGCCGGCCUGAGAGGGUGAUCGGCCACAUUGGGACUGAGGUACGGCCCAGACUCCUACGGGCGGCAGCAGUGGGGAAUAUUGCGCAAUGGGCGCAAGCCUGAUGCAGCGACGCCGCGUGAGGGAUGACGGCCUUCGGGUUGUAAACCUCUUUCGGCAGGGACGAAGCGUAAGUGACGGUACCUGCAGAAGAAGCACCGGCUAACUACGUG
rnacentral:rRNA from 1 species